UACAGAGGUCUCAAGCGUUGUUCGGAUUCAUUGGGCGUAAAGGGUGCGUAGGCGGCGCGGUAAGUCGGGUGUGAAAUCUCGGAGCUUAACUCCGAAACUGCAUUCGAUACUGCCGUGCUUGAGGACUGGAGAGGAGACUGGAAUUUACGGUGUAAGCGGUGAAAUGCGUAGAUAUUCGCAAGAACACCAGUGGCGAAGGCGGCUCACUGGCCCGGUACUGACGCUGAGGUGCGAAAGCGUGGGGAGCAAACAGG
rnacentral:rRNA from 1 species